GUUUCGGCCUUUUUGAAUGUCAUUAAGCCUGCUGACAACGCUCAUCGGUCUCCAGAGUCGUGACGUAAGAAAGGCCAACGCAUGACUUUCUUUUCAUAUCACAGGGACGUUUAUACAGGCCUGGUUGGUGGAUUGCUGCAGAGAUGGUUGUCCUUCUGGAAGGUCCUCUUCAAAGAGGACUGCUGUAGCUCUGACAGAGUUACCAUCGGGUUCUUGGUCACCACCCUGACUAGACUAAGAUGAAUGCAGCGAUGUACAGAGACAUCCUGGAUGACAACCAACCCUUCCCAUCCAGUCUGAUUGAGCUUGGAGGUGCUGCAAAGAGGAAUGAGAGAAACUGCCCAAAGAAAGGAAGUCACCGUGUGUCAUCACAAAGAGUGGGAGAUGAGGGAGAAGAAAGAAGAGGUGGAAGCAAAAUAAAGGCCAGCAGUGGGUGAGAAUGGAAAAGAAGCUGUCAUUUUCUACCCACCGAGUGCAAGACAUUUAAACCUCCCGCUGCCUCAGCAGAGCUACCAACAUUAUCAAGGACCGAUCCCACCCUGGCUAAGACCUGUUUGACCUGCUGCCCUCAGGAAGGCGCUACAGGGUCAUCAGGUCUAAGACAAAACAAGACUCAAGAACAGUUUUUUCCCAUAAAAGCCAUAACCAGGGUGAACUGGUGAGGCGUGGUUGUAUUGUAUAUUAAGUGUGUGUCCAUGAAAGGGUAUUUUAUGACUUUUUUCUUAAUACUUGUGUAUGAUUUUAUUGUCAUAAUUGUAUUGCAUGAUUUUUGUAUCCCUUUAAUUUAGGUGGCCAGGGACUGCAGAUGGAAAUGAGCUAUUUAGCUAUAAUCUGGUACAGAACAGUUAGUUUUUUGUUGUUUUUACCGCAAAUCAACAACUAGAUUUUUCGGUGUAUUACUGUAAAUGUCAAAACGGCACCAAAGUUUAUUACAAUAAAAAAAGUACAGAUUUUUUCAUUUAGAGAAAAAUGCUGUAAAAAUCACAGUAAAUUUUACCAUGAAAUCUAUUGCUACUUUUACAUUGCACAAUUUGAUGGUUAACUUGCUUUGAAAUAAUUAAUAUUUGUAUUUAUUUAUAUUUUUAAAAAUGGUUUGAACGUUUGAUAAUAUCUUUUAUUUUAUUGUCAUAAUUGUAUUGCAUGAUUUGUGUAUCCCUUUAAUUUAGGUGGCCAGGGACUGCAGAUGGAAAUUAGCUAUUUAGCUAUAAUCUGGUACAGAACAUAUCUGUCUUUGAGCUUAAUGUCUCUGUGCAUUGUCCCUUCAAAUAAAGACUAAACUAACUAACUCUCAUAGGCACUGAUUUUAUAGUUUAGCACCUCUCUGUGUGCAAUUUUUAUUAUCCACCCACAGUCUGAAUGCUUCUGUAUAUAUGUAUACAGUAUAAUAUUUAAUAUUUAAACAACACAUUCAGAACAUUGGUUCUCAGGACUGGACUGUGCACCUUACCUCCUUUUGCACUAUUUUUCUUUUCUUUCCUUCCUAUGUUUUGCAUAUUUAUAGACUGUCGCACUGAUACUGGAGUUGCUUUUAAUGUCAUUGUACCU